rnacentral:rRNA from 1 species
GACGAACGCUGGCGGCGUGCUUAACACAUGCAAGUCGAACGGAAAGGCCCUGCUUUUGUGGGGUGCUCGAGUGGCGAACGGGUGAGUAACACGUGAGUAACCUGCCCUUGACUUUGGGAUAACUUCAGGAAACUGGGGCUAAUACCGGAUAGGAGCUCCUGCUGCAUGGUGGGGGUUGGAAAGUUUCGGCGGUUGGGGAUGGACUCGCGGCUUAUCAGCUUGUUGGUGGGGUAGUGGCUUACCAAGGCUUUGACGGGUAGCCGGCCUGAGAGGGUGACCGGCCACAUUGGGACUGAGAGACGGCCCAGAGUGCUACGGGAGGCAGCAGUGGGGAAUAUUGCACAAUGGGCGGAAGCCUGAUGCAGCAACGCCGCGUGCGGGAUGACGGCCUUCGGGUUGUAAACCGCUUUCGCCUGUGACGAAGCGUGAGUGACGGUAAUGGGUAAAGAAGCACCGGCUAACUACGUG